AGAGUUUGAUCAUGGCUCAGGACGAAUGCUGGCGGCGUGCUUAACACAUGCAAGUCAAGGAGAACAUUCUGCUUCGGCGGGAUUAGUAAACUGGCGGACGGGUGAGUAACGCGUAGGCAACCUGCCCUUGUGAUUGGGAUAAUUCACCGAAAGGUGUACUAAUACCGAAUGACAUCCCGGUAAUACCUGUUAUUGGGAUUAAAGAUGCUGCAAAGUAUUGCACAAGGAUGGGCCUGCGUUCCAUUAGCUAGAUGGCGAGGUAACGGCUCCCCAUAGCGACGAUGGAUAGCUGAUCUGAGAGGGUGAUCAGCCACACUGGGACUGAGAUACGGCCCAGACUCCUACGGGAGGCAGCAGUGAGGAAUAUUGCGCAAUGGGCGAAAGCCUGACGCAGCAACGCCGCGUGGGGGAUGAAGCACUAUGGUGUGUAAACCCCUGUAGACAGGGAAGAACGGCACAAGUUCGUAAGGGUUUGUGUAUGACGGUACCUGUAAAGUAAGCUCCGGCUAACUCCGUGCCAGCAGCCGCGGUAAUACGGGGGGAGCAAGCGUUGUCCGGAAUUACUGGGCGUAAAGGGCGUGUAGGUGGCUUGAUAAGUCAGUUGUGAAAGCUUCCGGCUUAACCGGAAAACUGCAAUUGAAACUGUCAGGCUUGAGUGCGAGAGAGGGUAGUGGAAUUCCCAGUGUAGCGGUGAAAUGCGUAGAUAUUGGGAAGAACACCAGUAGCGAAGGCGGCUACCUGGCUCGCAACUGACGCUAAUGCGCGAAAGCGUGGGGAGCAAACAGGAUUAGAUACCCUGGUAGUCCACGCUGUAAACGAUGGGCACUAGGUGUUGGUUGGUCAUAGACUAAUCAGUGCCGGAGCAAACGCAUUAAGUGCCCCGCCUGGGGAGUACGAUCGCAAGGUUGAAACUCAAAGGAAUUGACGGGGGCCCGCACAAGCGGUGGAGCAUGUGGUUUAAUUCGAUGCAACGCGAAGAACCUUACCGGGGUUUGACAUCAUAAUGAAAUCUGCAGAGAUGUAGAUGCCUUUCGGGGCGUUAUGACAGGUGCUGCAUGGCUGUCGUCAGCUCGUGUCGUGAGAUGUUGGGUUAAGUCCCGCAACGAGCGCAACCCUUGUCUCUAGUUACCAGCGAGUAAUGUCGGGGACUCUAGAGAGACUGCCGGUGACAAACUGGAGGAAGGUAGGGGAUGACGUCAAGUCCUCAUGGCCCUUACAUCCCGGGCUACACACGUGCUACAAUGGCCGGUACAACGAGUCGCAAUACCGCGAGGUGGAGCCAAUCUCUAAAAACCGGUCUCAGUUCGGAUUGCAGUCUGCAACUCGACUGCAUGAAGCCGGAAUCGCUAGUAAUUGCGGAUCAGCACGCCGCGGUGAAUACGUUCCCGGGCCUUGUACACACCGCCCGUCACGCCAUGGGAGUCGGCAGUACCCGAAGCCGGUCCAAUAAGGAUCGUCGAAGGUAAGGCUGAUGACUGGGGCGAAGUCGUAACAAGGUA
rnacentral:rRNA from 1 species